rnacentral:rRNA from 1 species
GGCAUUGUUGGUUUCUCCCUUCUGACGAACCAUGAUGUCAUUUAUUUGGUGUUGUGGGGAAUCAGGACUGUUACUUUGAAAAAAUUAGAGUGUUUAAAGCAGGCUCACGCUUGAAUACAUUAGCAUGGAAUAAUGAAAUAGGACGUUUGAUUCUAUUUUGUUGGUUUCUAGGAUCGACGUAAUGAUUAAUAGGGAUAGUUGGGGGCAUUAGUAUUCAAUUGUCAGAGGUGAAAUUCUUGGAUUUAUUGAAGACUAACUACUGCGGAAGCAUUUGCCAAGGAUGUUUUCAUUAAUCAAGAACGAAAGUUAGGGGAUCGAAGACGAUCAGAUACCGUCGUAGUCUUAACCAUAAACUAUGCCGACUAGGGAUCGGAUGAUGUUAAUUUUUUAAUGACUCAUUCGGCGCCUUACG